rnacentral:lncRNA from 1 species
AAAAUUGUAUCUUAUCCAUUUACUCGUGUAUCCAAUCUCCCGCCCACUCUCUCUCCCCUCUUCACAACGUAAAAAAACCCUCUCCCACCACACACCAUUGAGCCAUAACCCGUAAAAACAGAGGAAGCAACCAGAAAGAAUAAUAGGAAAUCAAGUCCUCACACAACCGAACCAGCAAGAACGAAGAUAAAAUCAAGGCCCGAACGAAUCGCUGCUUCCAUAUCCACCCUAUUCACUACAAAAAGGUCGACAACGAGCCAUUGAUUACAUCGAUUAAGGUAUAUUUCACAGCACUUUUAAAAAUUGCAAAUGUAUGAUCUUCGAUGUGAGUGUAUUUAGUUUCAAAUUCUAAAAAUUGUGCCUGUAUUUAUCAAAUUGCUCUACUUGUUUCUCCUCUCCAAAAAAUAUGUAAAAAUCGGUGAGGUUUCUUAUUCCUGUUGUCGGGGUGGGGGUAGGUUUUAUUUUAUUCAAAGAAAACUUGCAUUUGUCUGAAAAUUUUCUUCAUAAUUGUUUUACGUUUCUUGGAGUUUAAAUUUUCAAGUUACGAAGUCUGUAUCUCGAUUGAAAUGGAUCGAAUUACCUUCAAAUUUGACGGUUAAUUUUUAUUUUUUAUUUUUUAUUUUUUUUGGUUUUUGAAGCCAUAAAAUAUUGGGAUCAAAAGAACUGGAAGAAAGAAUACCAAAACUAAUAUAUGAUUGAGAGUUUCCAUAAAAUAUGGUAAAAUGAAAAGGUGAAGAUUAGUUAAACGAAUGUCGUUUUAGCAGUACGGGGAUGGGGGUUGAAUUCUUGUCCUUAUCCAGGUUUGGAAUAAAUAAUUCUUCCUUUUAAUUUCUGUUCACUUUAAUUUUGGGUGAAAUGGGUAAAUCUAGUAUAGAAUUACAGUACUCACAUUGAAAGAUCAAGAACAUUUGCCGUCCGAAAGAUAGAUGUUUAAGAGAGGGAGAGAGAGAAAUAUUUAUUCAAAGAGGUGGGUUGGCGUAGGAAAUGAUGGUCCGCUAGCUCUAACGUAGCUCUGCCUCCACCGCUUAAAUGCUGGUUAGUUUGUAAAUUUGCUUAAUGUUAUAAUAAAAUUAACUAGUUUGUAUUAAAGUGACAACUUUCUAAAAAAUUAUGCUGCUAAAGGGAAUGUUAAGGAGCUUGUUGACAACUCUCUAGUUUUAUUUUAUGCCAGUCAGGUUUCCUCAAUUAAAUCAUAGGGAGUAACUGUUAAAAGGAGAAUUUAUUGACAGAACUAAGGAGCUUGUUGCAUUAUCUGGAGCUCAUACUCUUGGAAGCAAAGGUUUUGGAAAUCGCGUUGUUUUCGACAAUUCGUACUACAAAAUUCUCCUAGAGAAGCCAUGGUUGUCUUCAGGUGCUUCACAAGUUUCUUUCUUUUGCCAUCUUGUUUUAAAUCCCAUCCAAUCAUUCCAAGUGAUUUACCAAAUAAGCAGAUGGUUCAUGUCUCCAAGCAACUGCUCAUAACCAAUAACGUCUCAGAGAGAAAUUUCUUAAAAUUAUAGCUAAAAGUGUUGGAGUUUGGUCUGAAUCCAGAAAGGGAAAAUGGCACUUGUAGUUCCAUGUCCCACUAUUGUUUUAAAGAGUUUGCAACAUCCCCCUUUCCCAUGAGUUACUUGCUAACUUUCUUAUUAUUGGAUUUAACUCAAGGGAAUGUUCAGGAGCUAUUGAUGCUCCUUUAGGAUGUCAUGGUUCAUUUCUAUCUAGAGGUUCCAAACAGUGUUGGUUUAUCAUAGCAUCUAGACAUUUGCAAUUUAAUUCAGCAACCACAUGGAGAUGCUUCAUUUGACAGAGCAACAAAUAUGCUGGCAGUUUGAAAAUAGCUUAAUGCUAAUACCAUUUUGUGUAUUUUUGAUAGCAUUAUGUUAAACCAAUUUUCCACUGCAAAUUCAUUAUACAGUUUAUAUAAUCGUCAUCAAGCUUCUUCUUGUCAUCAUGUCUAAUUAUAACAAGUAAUUUAUAUGUUAAUUUUAUAUAAUUUUUAUUUGCC